ensembl:lncRNA
CAGCCCCGACCCCCACGGCCCCCCCCGUCUCUACGACGCCGACGGGGCAAACUUCCAUGACAACCCCAAUGACCAUUUCCAAGACAACCCUAACAACCGUUACCAUGACAAUCCCGCCAGUUAUUUCCACGACAACCCAAACAGUCAUUUCCAAGAGAACCCUAACAACCGUUUCCGUGACAACCCUAACAACCGUUUCCAUGACAACCCUAACAGCCAUUUCCAUGACAACCCCAAUAACCCCAACAGCCGUUUCCAUGACAAUCCUAACAACCGUUACCAAGAGAACCCCAACGGUCGUUUCCAUGACAACCCCAACAAUCAUUUCCAUGACAACCCAAACGUCCGUUUUCAAGAGAACCCAAACGGCCGUUUCCCGGACAACCCAAAUCACCCCAGACCUCCUCAAGGCUUCUUCAACAGGCCGGGCCCCACCCCCCCGCCCACCCUGCCCCGCCCCGUGCUGGGCCACACACCCCCCCCCACGUUGGGCCUGGCCUAUAAAGAGUAACAACAACAGGAUCAUCAGCAUUUGACCCAGAGGACCCACAGUGAAGAGGGGCCAAUAAGACUGCUUAGCUCCUCCAACUAGCUCCCGACUGGCCAAUAGGAAUCCAGAGGUGAAUCUCUGGAUAUGGAAUGUUGAGCUAAUGGAACCAGUGUCCCGAUUGGCUGGCGCCAUGGUGAUCAGACACUGGACUAGCCUGCUGUAUCCGCAUCAACAGACUUACUGAUAUACAAACUUUCUGCACAUUAUGUGCACCUUGCUUCACUUCACCCCUAAGCCUUUGAUUCGCUAGGAGUACAGAGCCACGCCUUCAAAUCCUCAGCUGUCCAAUGGGGAGGCACUUGGCUGGCGGCCACAUUGCUACCAUGGGCAACAUUUGGUACACAUCUCUUCUGCUGAAGCACAGAUGUCCUGAGGAGAUAUCGACUGUCACUGGUGCUGUGUGACCAUCGUUAGGGCUAUUCACUAUUAACGAAGAAGAAGGCAAUAAAGUCAUCGGCAUGGAUACAAACUAAACAAGUGUUUACCGCCCCAGAACCCCUCUCUGAUUGGUUAAUAUGACCUUUACAUUUGUCUGAUUGGUUUAAGACCUUUAUAUUCAUAGCUAUUUACAUCUGUUUGUUCUCGUAUUUUUAUGAUUACAUUAUUAUUAUUAUUGAGUGUGUUCAUUUCAAAAGUAACUAAGUGAAGUAACUAAACCUUGGAUUACUAUUAAGUUCCUCUCACGUGGUGUAGGGUCUAGCGACGAGGAGGAAGGCUGCUCGCUCUUCUCUCCAUCAGGGCGUCUUGUGGUCGCGGUUCCGCUCUCCUCAACACUCCCAGACCGUAGGAACACUCUUUAGGAGAGGUUUUGAAACAUCCUUUUAGAUAUGAUUCUUUGUAUUAAAACAAGAUGUAAAGUUGGAUUAAGGCUGAAUGGGAUAUUUGCAUCACGUUCUUGGUCCUAUUUCUAGUUCUUAUGUCCGACAUGGCAGCUGGCCUCUGACAGGCUGCAGACCGCGGUCUGAACACAAUUAUGAAGUACAAUUAUUCUAUCAACAUGAGGAGAGGUCCUGUUAGAUAGUUGGAGACUAUAUUAAGCUAUCCUGGCCGACCGUGGAUGUAUUUUCAUUUGCAGCAGAUCUGGGUUUAUUUAUGCAUGUGACGACCAUGCCCAGGUGAACUCUCUCCCCCCGCGUCAUAACGCUACGUAUCUCUAGCCAUACCGCUGCCGUGUGCGUCAUAGCUAACCGUGUCAGUACGUUCUACUGUGAUAUGCUAAUAGGUUUGCCACAGUUGCUAGCAUCACUUGUACAACAGAAGCUUGUUCUGUCCUGCUAGCUAGUAAAGUGCUAUGCUUCCUAGGACCGUCGUUCAUCAUAUGCUGAUCACACUUUAUACUAAAAACUAUCUAUAGAUAUGUAUUACAAAUGUUUUGAAUAUUGGUAACAAUCAAUGUUAUUUUUGUGUUGACUCUGUAUUACUGAUAUUAUAGAUAUUUUUGAUGACCAUCAAGUAAAUGAUCUUUUUCUAACUUUAUGCCAAUACCAUGACAACUUUAACCGUGGUUGCUAGGCCUCCCCUGUGGUUGCUAGGCUAUGCCUGUGGUUGCUAGGCCUUCCCCGUGGUUGCUAGGCUAUGGUCGCUAGGUUUAUGAAGGUGUCGAGCAGGAGGCGGUCAAAUUCCUCCAAUUGUCAUGACGAUAAUCUGAUCCAAUUUGUUUAACGUAAGAAUUCAAUUAUAUUUUAACAUAAAUUAUAUAAUAAUUUAUAACAUUUAAAUAACAUAGUAUAAUAAUAUCAUAACAUAUAAGUUAUAUUAUAUAUGUAGGCUGGCAUAAAUUCCCUACUGUAGGAUGCUGAGCUGUUGUCAUGGUAACCCAAUAGAUGGCCAUUAAAUGGUUGUGAAUAUCCAAUAUGAAGUGAUAAUGUGGUGAUGUUUCCCUUGAUGGACUGGGCUAACUUUUUAAAACAUGAUAGCACAACUAACGGUUGCCUGUAUUGCAAGGUUUUCUAGAACUGUAAAAAGACAUUUGUAUUCAGAGCGGUCUAUGUAUACCAUAAAUGUGAACGCCACUGUGGUUGGUUUAUUAAAUAUUUUAUAAAAAUAA